rnacentral:lncRNA from 12 species
AUGUUUCCAGGCAGCACUAACUUCUUCUCUGUACCUGUGAUACAUAUGCAGCAGAAACGAAAUGCUAUAGCCUAUUUUAGGCUCUACCCUGGAGACAUACUGGUUCUAACGGCUCCCCACUGGAGAUCCUGGAGGGUGUGGGUGGAGGUGAUGGCGAAGAAGGUAGGGAGAGGUCAAGGCCAAAACAGGGCUGGGAAAAUAAAUCUCUCCCGGGUUGUGGUUGCUUGGUCAUGUUUGGUUCAGUGAAUCGCUCUGUGCCAGCAUUAGCUGGACGGCAGCCAGGCACUGGACCAAGGGAGUCCCCAUUGAUCACACCAGUGCGGAGCUCCCUGGCUGAGUCAUAAGACCUGGGGUAGGCAGUGACCUGAGGCAGAGGCCUGGAGGUGACACUGACCCACUCUGGAGAAGCUGAAAAGAUCUCAUUUGUUUAUUGAUUGAUUAUUAACUUGAUUAUUUUCCUUCUCCUCCUGGUCUGGACUAGAAGCAUCACGAGGGCAGGUACCUAAGUUGCCGUGUGACUGCUGUAUCCCAGUCUGGGCCGUAGUAGGCCUUCCACAAACACUCGUUGAAUGAACGACAAGACUUGUUGUCUUGCUAGGUUUCAUUCAUUAUUGUCUGCCCCACCCCUGCUAGAAUGAUGUCGGCUCCUUGAGGGCCUCAACAUCUUCGGUCUUUUUCAGUUCUUUAGUCCUAGCACCUCCCAACACCCAGCACAGAGCAGGUGCUUGUGGCAGACGCUUCUGUCUUGAAGAGGACCCCACGUUGUUCAGGCAGCCACGUCCCAGGAGACGAAGCAGGGUUAUUGUAAACUGAUAGUGACAUUUAUGCUCUUGGUCCAGGGGUAAGCCUGGCCUGUGAAAGUCUAAGAGAAAGCCUGCCUUGGACUUGUGUUGGCAGGUGAUGCUGCUGUUGUAAUAGCCGUCUUGGGACUCUGAGGCCCCAAAGCUGGGAUGGCAAGUCACUAUGAUGAGGAUAGCAGGGGUGAAGUACCUUGGUCCUUGAUGACAUCGCGAAUCCUCAAUCAGCCAGAUGAACCAAUAUCCUUUGGACUUCUUGUUAAAUAAAUGAUAUCCUUACAUUCGAACCCA